GACGAACGCUGGCGGCGUGCUUAACGCAUGCAAGUCGAACGAAGAGCGAUGGAAGCUUGCUUCUAUCAAUCUUAGUGGCGAGCGGGUGAGUAACGCGCAAUCAACCUGCCCUUCAGAGGGGGACAACAGUUGGAAACGACUGCUAAUACCGCAUAUGAUCUAACCUCGGCAUCGAGGAUAGAUGAAAGGUGGCCUCUAUUUAUAAGCUAUCACUGAAGGAGGGGAUUGCGUCUGAUUAGCUAGUUGGAGGGGUAACGGCCCACCAAGGCGAUGAUCAGUAGCCGGUCUGAGAGGAUGAACGGCCACAUUGGGACUGAGACACGGCCCAGACUCCUACGGGAGGCAGCAGUGGGGAAUCUUCCGCAAUGGACGAAAGUCUGACGGAGCAACGCCGCGUGAGUGAUGACGGCCUUCGGGUUGUAAAGCUCUGUUAAUCGGGACGAAAGGCCUUCUUGCGAAUAGUUAGAAGGAUUGACGGUACCGGAAUAGAAAGCCACGGCUAACUACGUGCCAGCAGCCGCGGUAAUACGUAGGUGGCAAGCGUUGUCCGGAAUUAUUGGGCGUAAAGCGCGCGCAGGCGGAUUGGUCAGUCUGUCUUAAAAGUUCGGGGCUUAACCCCGUGAUGGGAUGGAAACUGCCAAUCUAGAGUAUCGGAGAGGAAAGUGGAAUUCCUAGUGUAGCGGUGAAAUGCGUAGAUAUUAGGAAGAACACCAGUGGCGAAGGCGACUUUCUGGACGAAAACUGACGCUGAGGCGCGAAAGCCAGGGGAGCGAACGGGAUUAGAUACCCCGGUAGUCCUGGCCGUAAACGAUGGGUACUAGUGUAGGGAGGUAUCGACCCCUUCUGUGCCGGAGUUAACGCAAUAAGUACCCCGCCUGGGGAGUACGACCGCAAGGUUGAAACUCAAAGGAAUUGACGGGGGCCCGCACAAGCGGUGGAGUAUGUGGUUUAAUUCGACGCAACGCGAAGAACCUUACCAGGUCUUGAUAUUGAUGGACAGAACUAGAGAUAAUUCCUUUUCUUCGGAAGCCAGAAAACAGGUGGUGCACGGUUGUCGUCAGCUCGUGUCGUGAGAUGUUGGGUUAAGUCCCGCAACGAGCGCAAACCCCUAUCUUAUGUUGCCAGCACUUUGGGUGGGAAACUCAUGAGAGACUGCCGCAGACAAUGCGGAGGAAAGGCGGGGAUGACGUCGAAUUCGAUCAUGCCCCUUAUAAC
rnacentral:rRNA from 1 species